GACGAACGCUGGCGGCGCACCUAACACAUGCAAGUCGAACGAGUGAGAGAGAGCUUGCUUUCUCGAGCGAGUGGCGAACGGGUGAGUAACGCGUGAGGAACCUGCCUCAAAGAGGGGGACAACAGUUGGAAACGACUGCUAAUACCGCAUAAGCCCACAGGUCGGCAUCGACCAGAGGGAAAAGGAGCAAUCCGCUUUGAGAUGGCCUCGCGUCCGAUUAGCUAGUUGGUGAGGUAAUGGCCCACCAAGGCGACGAUCGGUAGCCGGACUGAGAGGUUGAACGGCCACAUUGGGACUGAGACACGGCCCAGACUCCUACGGGAGGCAGCAGUGGGGAAUAUUGCACAAUGGGGGAAACCCUGAUGCAGCGACGCCGCGUGGAGGAAGAAGGUCUUCGGAUUGUAAACUCCUGUUGUUGAGGAAGAUAAUGACGGUACU
rnacentral:rRNA from 1 species